ACGCUAUUAGGUGGAUGACUUGGCUCUAAACGCCGAAGAAGGACGUGACAAGCUACGUUAUGCUCCGGCGAGUAGCAUGUAUAUUUUGAACCGGAGAUUUCCGAAUGCGACUUCGCAUUAAUGCCGAAAGGCAGGGGAACGCAGGGAAUUGAAACAUCUUAGUACCUGCAGGAGAAGAAAUCAAUUGAGAUGCUGUAAGUAAGAGCGACUGAAAACAGCACAGGGCAAACCGAAUCCCUUGCAGUAAUGUAAGGGAAAUGUGGUGUUAUAGGACUGUUUUUUCAUCCUAACUUAAAGACUUGAACUUUUCUGGAAAGUUUGACCAUAGAGGGUGAUAGUCCCGUAAAGGAAUUUAAGUGGAUUUAGCAGUAUCCUGAGUACUGUAUCUUAGAUAUGAUGCAGGAAAUUGGGAGGCAUCAACUUCCAACCCUAAAUACGUUUGGAGUCCGAUAGUAAACGAGUACCGUGAGGGAACGUUGAAAAGAACCCUUAGCAGGGGGUUAAAAGAUCCUGAAACCUAAUAGUUAUAGUGGGGUACGGCUCUUAGGAGUUGUACCGUGCGUUUAGAAUAACGUGCCAGGGAGUGUAUUUUUGUGGCAAGGAUAAUUCCAAAAGAAGGAUCCUAAGGGAAACCAACAAGCCCGCAGUUUACGAGGGGCGAGGUAUGAAAGUGCCUGUAGUCACAAGGAUACGACCCGAAGCCGGUCGAUCUAAUCCUGGGUAAGGUGAAGCGGAAGUAAAAUUUCGUGGAGGCCUGAAGAGUUGCUACGAGCAAGUGUUCUUCUAACCUGGGAUUAGGGGUGAAAAGCCAAUCGAGACCGGUGAUAGCUGGUUCCUGCCAAAGUUGGCCGUAGUCAAGUCUCAGACGAGAUGGCUAGGAUUGUAGAGCUACGGAUUGGGGAUUUUGGGGCUUAACCGCUUCGGUUCCCUCUCCAACUCCGAAUGUUCUAGCGUUGUAGACUCUGGGAAACGGGGGCGCGGGGUAAGCUUGCGUCCCGAGAGGGGAACAACCCAGACUUUAGUUAAGGUCCCAAAAUACUAACUAAGUGUUAAAGGGUGAAAAGUGUUCGUAGUCUAAGACAGUGAGGAGGUUGGCUUAGAAGCAGCCACCCUUUAAAAAGUGCGUAACAGCUUACUUAUCGAGAUUGCGAGCCUUGAAGAUGGACGGGGCUAAAUUAGUUACCGAUACUAAAGACAUAGAAAUAUGUGGUAGGCAGGCGUUCUGCUAGGACAGAAGCUAUUCUGUGAAGGAUGGUGGACCUGGUAGAAAUGAAAAUCCUGGCGGUAGUAGGAUCAGAGCAGAGUGAGAAUCUCUGUCACCGAAAGGGCAAGGGUUCCUUGACAAUACAGAUUAGUCAAGGGUUAGUUAAUCCUAACUCAACUCAUAACUCGUAGUUGGGGAAAGGGAAACAGGUUAAUAUUCCUGUACUAUCUGUGUAUGCGUGGCAACACAAGCCUGAUUUUUGACGCUUCUGGCUAAGCCAACACACUUCGUCUAGUGUGUUAAUAAGGGCAAAUCAAGGGAGUGCUGUAAUGGCGAGAACUUGAUUAAAUCUUAGAAUAGUAACUUGUAUGAGUUAUUUGGCUGAUGCCUGGAGUCACUGAAAAGAGAAUCAGGAAAGAUCAUAGAUAAUUAUACCCAGAACCGGCACAGGUGCCCCUAGGUGAGAAACCUAAGGUGUGAAGGUGUAAUCUAGUUAAGGGAAUUCGGCAAAUUAGCCCCGUAGCUUCGGUUUAAGGGGUCCCUGCGCUCGUAUCUGUAUAGGUGCGACUGCAGGGUGCAAUUACUAAGAGGGUCCGACUGUUUAACAAAAACUUAACCAACUGCUACGCUGUGAAGCUUUGUAUAGUUGGUGACGUCUGCCCAGUGUCAGUACUUUAAAGCCUUUUUCAAGAGGCCCAAGAGCUGAUAAACGGCGGGGGUAACUAUAACUCUCUUAAGGUAGCGAAAUGCCUUGCCGUUUGAUUGACGGCUUGCAUGAAUGGCGUAACGAGACCCUCACUGUCCCUAACUAGAAUCCUCCGAACACUCUUUACUGGUGCAAAGGCCAGUGAUAUCCAGUGGGAAGUGAAGACCCCGUGAAACUUUACUGUAGCCUGCAGUUGCGGUGUUGCUUUUGUUGUAUAGCGUAAGUGGGAGUUGUUAAAACUUGAUCGCAAGAUUAAGUGUAGACGUCUAUGUAACACCACUCUUCAGAAUUUACAUUGCUUACUCGCAUUGCGAGAACACCUGUUGGUGGACAGUUUGGCUGGGGUGGCACUCCGCUGAAAGAAUAUCAGCGGAGCCCAAAGGUUGGCUCAACCGGGUCAGAAAUCCGGUGUAGAGUGCAAAGGCAAAAGCCAGCCUGAUUGGAUUCCUAAUAAGAUGGAAUACAAAAGCGAAAGCUUGGCUUAGCGAACUUCCAAAGCUCCUUGAUGGGGCUUGGAAAUGACCGAAAAGUUACUCCGGGGAUAACAGAGUUGUCGCGCCCGAGAGCUCAAAUCGACGGCGCGGCUUGCUACAUCGAUGUCGGCUCUUCCUAACCUGGGCGUGCAGCAGCGCCCAAGGGUGGGGGUGUUCACCCAUUAAAAGGGAUCGUGAGCUGGGUUCAGAACGUUGUGAGACAGUUUGUUUAAUAUCUACUGGAUAUGUUUUAGUGUCUGAAAGGAAGGAAGCAAUAGUACGAGAGGAACUUGCUUUCGGAGCCUCUAGUCUAUCGGUUAUCUGACAAGGUAUGCCGAGCAGCCACGCUCUAAGAGAUAAGUGCUGAAAGCAUCUAAGCACGAAGCCCUCCUUGAAAAGAGACAUGAGGAUACUCAUAAAAGAUGAGUUUGAUAGGACUGUGGUGUAAGUACCGAGGCAACGAGGUAUUCAGCCAGCAGUUACUAAUAGUCCGCAUUUAAUCUU
rnacentral:rRNA from 1 species